rnacentral:lncRNA from 1 species
AAUUAUGAGAACCAAUCCUACUACUUCUCGUCCCGGGGUUUCCCCAAUUGAAGAAAAAAGUACAGGCCGUAUCGAUCAAAUUAUUGGACCCGUGCUGGACGUCACUUUUCCCCCCGGUAAGUUACCUUAUAUUUAUAACGCUUUGGUAGUCCAGAGUAGAGACACUGCCGAUAAGCAAAUUAAUGUGACUUGUGAGGUACAACAAUUAUUAGGAAAUAAUCGAGUUAGAGCUGUAGCUAUGAGUGCUACAGAUGGGUUGAUGAGAGGAAUGGAAGUGAUUGACCCAGGAGCUCCUCUCAGUGUUCCGGUCGGCGGAGCUACUCUCGGGCGAAUUUUCAACGUUCUUGGGGAGCCUGUUGACAAUUUGGGUCCUGUAGAUAGUAGUGCAACGUUCCCUAUUCAUAGAUCUGCGCCUGCCUUUAUCGAGUUAGAUACGAAAUUAUCCAUCUUUGAAACAGGUAUUAAGGUCGUCGAUCUUUUAGCUCCUUAUCGACGUGGAGGAAAAAUAGGACUAUUUGGGGGGGGUGGAGUAGGUAAAACAGUACUCAUCAUGGAAUUGAUCAACAACAUUGCUAAAGCUCAUGAGGGUGUAUCCGUAUUUGGUGGAGUAGGGGAAUGGACUCGUGAAGGAAAUGAUCUUUAUAUGGAAAUGAGGGAAUCCGGAGUAAUUAAUGAAAAAAAUAUUGAGGAAUCAAAGGUAGCUCUAGUCUAUGGCCAAAUGAAUGAACCACCGGGAGCUCGUAUGAGAGUUGGUUUAACUUCCCUAACUAUGGCGGAAUAUUUCCGAGAUGUUAAUAAGCAAGACGUGCUUUUAUUCAUCGAUAAUAUCUUUCGUUUUGUUCAAGCAGGAUCGGAGGUAUCCGCUUUAUUAGGGAGAAUGCCCUCCGCGGUGGGUUAUCAACCUACUCUUAGUACAGAAAUGGGUUCUUUGCAAGAAAGAAUUGCUUCUACUAAAAAGGGAUCUAUAACUUCGAUCCAAGCGGUUUAUGUACCUGCGGACGAUUUGACUGACCCUGCUCCUGCCACAACAUUUGCCCAUUUGGAUGCUACUACCGUACUUUCCAGAGGAUUAGCUUCCAAGGGUAUUUAUCCAGCAGUAGAUCCUUUAGAUUCAACCUCAACUAUGUUAUAGCCUCGGAUCGUUGGCAACGAACAUUAUGAAACUGCGCAAAGAGUUAAGGAAACUUUACAACGUUACAAGGAACUUCAGGACAUUAUCGCAAUUCUUGGAUUGGAUGAAUUAUCGGAGGAGGAUCGUUUAACUGUAGCAAGAGCGCGAAAAAUUGAGCGUUUCUUAUCACAACCGUUCUUUGUAGCAGAAGUUUUUACUGGUUCUGCAGGAAAAUAUGUUGGUCUUGCAGAAACAAUUAGGGGAUUUCAACUAAUCCUUACUGGAGAAUUAGAUGGCCUACCCGAGCAGGCUUUUUAUUUGGUGGGUAACAUCGAUGAAGCUAGCACGAAAGCUAUAACCUUAGAAGAGGAGAACAAAUCGAAGAAAUGAAAUUAAAUCUUUAUGUACUGACUCCUAAGCGAAUUAUUUGGGAUUGUGAAGUGAAAGAAAUCAUUUUAUCCACUAAUAGUGGUCAAAUUGGGGUAUUACCAAACCAUGCCCCCAUUAACACAGCAGUAGAUAUGGGUCCUUUGAGAAUACGCCUCCUCAACGACCUAUGGUUAACGGCGGUUCUGUGGAGCGGUUUUGCGAGAAUAGUUAAUAAUGAGAUCAUUAUUUUAGGAAAUGAUGCGGAACUGGGUAGUGAUAUUGAUCCGGAAGAAGCUCAACAGGCACUUAAAAUAGCCGAAGAUAACUUGAGUAAAGCUGAGGGUACGAAAGAAUUGGUUGAAGCGAAACUAGCUCUCAGACGAGCUAGGAUACGAAUUGAGGCUGUCAAUUGGAUUCCCCCAUCCAAUUGAAGACAAUCCAAUGGUUUAUAGUUGAUACAAAGAUAAAGGGAAGAGGGGUAGAAAAAGUUAUUAGAUAGCGAAGCGAAAUAAGCCCAAUGCUAUCUAGUAAUUUUUCUACCUACCUACCUACUAUUGGAUUUGAACCAAUGACUCCCGCCGUAUGAAAGCAAUACUCUAACCACUGAGUUAAGUAGGCAAUUUAUGAUCACAAAGGAAGACCCAUUACUUCGAUCGAUUAUAUAUCGAAUCCCUUUUCUAAGCAAUAACGCUUCCUUAUUGGUAUGUUAUAUACUAAACAGAUACAUAUUUAAAGAGAUACCCUCUGGCAUUAGAGAAUAUUCAUCUUGACAAUAAAUUAUCUAUAUGUUAAGAUAUCUCUGAUAAGGGCUAUAGCUCAGUUCGGUAGAGCAACUCGUUUACACGUGCGCCAAUGCUUUUCAAAGGAGCUUAUUAUGCAAUGAAUAUAAUGGAUCUUAUUGCAAAAUCAAUGUCUUACUUCAUAGAUUCGACAGAAUAGGAGAACAGUAGCCUGACAAAGAGUCAGUUCAGUCCGAUUCAGGUCCCCAUUCUGGUGCCUAAUCAAAUCGAACCCUUAUGG